GGGGUUUUUUCUAGUACGAAAGGACCGAAAAAGCAUGGCCAAUACUUCAUGCAAGCCAUAAUUAUCAACUUAUGAUAAAAUCUUAAUAAGUAAUUAAACCAACACUGAGCUCAAAAAAAGGGCA
rnacentral:rRNA from 1 species